GGCGAGUGAAGCGGCAACAGCUCAAAUUUGAAAUCUGGCUCUCGGGCCCGAGUUGUAAUUUGUAGAGGAUACUUUUGAUGCGGUGCCUUCCGAGUUCCCUGGAACGGGACGCCAUAGAGGGUGAGAGCCCCGUCUGGUUGGAUGCCAAAUCUCUGUAAAGUUCCUUCGACGAGUCGAGUAGUUUGGGAAUGCUGCUCUAAAUGGGAGGUAUAUGUCUUCUAAAGCUAAAUACCGGCCAGAGACCGAUAGCGCACAAGUAGAGUGAUCGAAAGAUGAAAAGCACUUUGAAAAGAGAGUUAAAAAGUACGUGAAAUUGUUGAAAGGGAAGCGUUUAUGACCAGACUUUGGGCUUGGUUGAUCAUCUGGGGUUCUCCCCAGUGCACUCUUCCAGUCCAGGCCAGCAUCAGUUUUCCCCGGGGGAUAAAGACUUCGGGAAUGUGGCUCUCUUCGGGGAGUGUUAUAGCCCGUUGUGUAAUACCCUGGGGGGGACUGAGGUUCGCGCAUCUGC
rnacentral:rRNA from 1 species